rnacentral:rRNA from 1 species
AGACGGGGGGGGCAAGCGUUGUUCGGAAUUACAGGGCGUAAAGGGCGCGUAGGCGGACCAGACAGUCUCUCGUGAAAUCCCACGGCUCAACCGUGGAACUGCGGGAGAUACUACUGGCCUUGAGUUCGGGAGAGGAGUGUGGAAUUCCCAGUGUAGCGGUGAAAUGCGUAGAUAUUGGGAGGAACACCGGUGGCGAAGGCGGCACUCUGGACCGAUACUGACGCUGAGGCGCGAAAGCUAGGGGAGCAAACGGGAUUAGAAACCCCAGUAGUCC